CCUGGGCGACCCCACCGCCUGUCCCGUCCCGGGUCAUGGCAACAACCCGAUCGAAGCCGGCUCGCCCGACGU
rnacentral:sRNA from 1 species